GACGAACGCUGGCGGCGUGCUUAACACAUGCCAGUCGAACGGAAAGGCCCUGCUUGCAGGGUACUCGAGUGGCGAACGGGUGAGUAACACGUGGGUGAUCUGCCCUGCACUUCGGGAUAAGCCUGGGAAACUGGGUCUAAUACCGGAUAGGAGCCAUUUUUAGUGUGAUGGUUGGAAAGUUUUUUCGGUGUAGGAUGAGCUCGCGGCCUAUCAGCUUGUUGGUGGGGUCAUGGCCUACCAAGGCGGCGACGGGUAGCCGGCCUGAGAGGGUGGACGGCCACAUUGGGACUGAGAUACGGCCCAGACUCCUACGGGAGGCAGCAGUGGGGAAUAUUGCACAAUGGGCGCAAGCCUGAUGCAGCGACGCCGCGUGGGGGAUGACGGCCUUCGGGUUGUAAACUCCGUUCGCUAGGGACGAAGCUUUUUGUGACGGUACCUAGAGAAGAAGCACCGGCUAACUACGUG
rnacentral:rRNA from 1 species